rnacentral:misc_RNA from 1 species
GAAAUGCGAUAAGUAAUGUGAAUUGCAGAAUUCGGUGAAUCAUCGAAUCUUUGAACGCACCUUGCGCUCCUUGGUGUUCCUUGGAGCAUGCCUGUUUGAGUAUCAUGAAAUCUUCAAAGUAAAUCUUUUGUUAACUCAAUUGGUUUCUACUUUGGUAUUGGAGGUCUUUGCAGCUUCACACCUGCUCCUCUUUGUUCAUUAGUUGGAUCUCAGUGUUAUGCUUGGUUCCACUCGGCGUGAUAAGUUAUCUAUCGCUGAGGACACUGUAAAAGGUGGCCAAGGUAAAUGCAGAUGAACCGCUUCUAAUAGUCCAUUGACUUGGACAAUACUUUUAUGAUCUGAUCUCAAAUCAGGUAGGACUACCCGCUGAACUUAAGC